rnacentral:rRNA from 1 species
AGCGAACGUUAGCGGCAGGCUUAACACAUGCAAGUCGAGCGAGAAAAGAACUUCGGUUCCUAGUAAAGCGGCGAACGGGUGAAUAACACGUGGAUAAUCUGCCCUCUGGAGGGGAAUAGCCAUCCGAAAGGAUGAAUAAUACCGCGUAAGUCACAGAAAUCUUUGGGUUUUGUGGGAAAGGAGGCCCUUAAAAGCUUCCGCCAGAGGAUGAGUCCGCGUCCCAUCAGCUAGUUGGUGAGGUAAUGGCUCACCAAGGCAAAGACGGGUAGCUGGUCUGAGAGGAUGAUCAGCCACACUGGGACUGAGACACGGCCCAGACUCCUACGGGAGGCAGCAGUGGGGAAUCUUGGGCAAUGGGCGAAAGCCUGACCCAGCCAUGCCGCGUGAGUGAUGAAGGC